UUGUAAAGUGGCGCACGGGUGAGUAACACGUGGGUAAUCUGCCCUUGAGUUUGGGAUAACCCCGCGAAAGCGGGGCUAAUACCGAAUAAGACCACGGAGACCAAAGUCUCUGAGGUAAAAGGUGGCCUCUAUUUAUAAGCUACCACUUGAGGAUGAGCCCGCGGCCCAUUAGCUAGUUGGCGGGGUAAUGGCCCACCAAGGCUAUGAUGGGUAGCUGGUCUGAGAGGACGAUCAGCCACACUGGAACUGAGACACGGUCCAGACUCCUACGGGAGGCAGCAGUGGGGAAUAUUGCGCAAUGGGCGAAAGCCUGACGCAGCAACGCCGCGUGGGGGAUGAAGGUUUUCGGAUUGUAAACCCCUUUCGAUCGGAACGAAUCUCCUCUUGGUAAACAAUCAGGAGGAUCGACGGUACCGAGAGAAGAAGCCACGGCUAACUCUGUGCCAGCAGCCGCGGUAAGACAGAGGUGGCGAGCGUUGUUCGGAUUUAUUGGGCGUAAAGCGAACGCAGGUGGUUUGGUAAGUCAGGGGUGAAAGUCCGCAGCUUAACUGCGGCACUGCCUUUGAUACUGCCUUUCUUGAGUGCAUGAGGGGGAAGCGGAAUUCCGAGUGUAGAGGUGAAAUUCGUAGAUAUUCGGAGGAACACCGGUGGCGAAGGCGGCUUCCUGGCAUGUAACUGACACUCAUGUUCGAAAGCGUGGGUAGCAAACAGGAUUAGAUACCCUGGUAGUCCACGCCCUAAACGAUGGGCACUAGGUGUGGGAGGUAUCGACCCCUUCCGUGCCGCAGCUAACGCAUUAAGUGCCCCGCCUGGGGAGUACGGCCGCAAGGUUGAAACUCAAAGGAAUUGACGGGGGCCCGCACAAGCGGUGGUGCAUGUGGUUUAAUUCGA
rnacentral:rRNA from 1 species